AGAGUUUGAUCAUGGCUCAGAUUGAACGCUGGCGGCAUGCCUUACACAUGCAAGUCGAACGGUAACGCGGGGGCAACCCUGGCGACGAGUGGCGGACGGGUGAGUAGCGCAUCGGAACGUGCCCAAUAGUGGGGGAUAGCUCGGCGAAAGCCGGAUUAAUACCGCAUACGACCCACGGGUGAAAGCGGGGGACCGCAAGGCCUCGCGCUAUUGGAGCGGCCGAUGCCCGAUUAGCUAGUUGGUGAGGUAAGAGCUCACCAAGGCAACGAUCGGUAGCUGGUCUGAGAGGACGACCAGCCACACUGGGACUGAGACACGGCCCAGACUCCUACGGGAGGCAGCAGUGGGGAAUUUUGGACAAUGGGGGGAACCCUGAUCCAGCCAUGCCGCGUGCGGGAAGAAGGCCUUCGGGUUGUAAACCGCUUUUGGCAGGAACGAAACGGCGCGCGCCAAUACCGCGCGCUAAUGACGGUACCUGCAGAAUAAGCACCGGCUAACUACGUGCCAGCAGCCGCGGUAAUACGUAGGGUGCAAGCGUUAAUCGGAAUUACUGGGCGUAAAGCGUACGCAGGCGGCUGUGCAAGACAGGUGUGAAAUCCCCGGGCUUAACCUGGGAACUGCAUUUGUGACUGCAUGGCUAGAGUCCGUAAGAGGGGGGUGGAAUUCCACGUGUAGCAGUGAAAUGCGUAGAGAUGUGGAGGAACACCGAUGGCGAAGGC
rnacentral:rRNA from 1 species